rnacentral:rRNA from 1 species
CCUACGGGCGGCUGCAGUAAGGAAUAUUCCGCAAUGGACGCAAGUCUGACGGAGCGACGCCGCGUGGAGGAUGAAGUCCCUCGGGAUGUAAACUUCAAUAGUUUGUCAGGAAGCAAAAGGACCUAACACGUCCUUCGUUGACCAUCAAACGAAAGGGGUGGCUAACUCCGUGCCAGCAGCCGCGGUAAUACGGAGACCCCUAGCGUUGUUCGGAAUCACUGGGCUUAGAGCGGGUGUAGGCGGGGCGGUAAGUACUGAGUGAAAUCCCCGAUCUCAAAUCGGGAACUGUUUGGUAUACUGCCGUUCUUGAGGCAGGUAGGGGUCACUGGAACCUUAGGUGGAGCGGUGAAAUGCGUAGAUAUCUAAGGGAACGCCUGUGGCGAAAGCGGGUGACUGGGCCUGUUCUGACGCUGAGACCCGAAAGCGUGGGGAGCAAACGGGAUUAGAUACCCGUGUAGUC